AUGAGGGUUUACAAGAACGAAAAAGAGGUGCUUAAAUCUCUCCUAAAGGGUGUGAGCUCCAUAUGUCUAACUACGGAUUUGUGGACAAGCAACCAAACCUUAUCUUACAUGUGUGUGGUUGCACACUAUAUAGAUGGGAAUUGGAACUUACAAACCCGUGUGCUUGCUUUCAUAGAGUUGGAUCCUCCUCACUCUGGAAAUGUCAUUGUGGAUGCUCUCUAUGCAUGUGUGACAGAAUGGAAUAUUGAGACCAAAAUUAUGUCCGUCACACUUGACAACGCUUCAAACAAUGAUGGUGCGAUCGAUGCUUUGAAGGCCAAGUUCUUGUUUCGGAGAGGUAAGGACUUCGAAGGCCAAUAUUUUCAUAUCCGUUGUUGUGCACAUAUCCUCAACUUGCUCGUGCAAGAUGGGACAUCGAUCUUAGAUAAUUUGAUAAACAGCUUGAGAGAGACGGUGAAGUACUUCAAGAGGUCACCUUCUCGUCUCCAUGCUUUUGUUGCCACUUGCAAAAGCUUGGGUGUCAAAGUUGGUAAUCAUUUACACUUGGAUUGUAAAACAAGGUGGAGUUCAACCUUUAAGAUG
rnacentral:rRNA from 1 species